GGGGUUUGAACGUCAUGUACUUUCGGUAUCGUUUUUAAGGAAGCCAAGUUGUUCCGACACAUUUCUGUUGUCUGCCGGACGCGACACGGCUUGCUGCACUGGAACAGAAUCCAGCUAGAUGAAACGUUUUGUAAAGCUUUAGGUGUAAGCGACGUGUUUCACAAUGGCCGUGGUAGUCCAGAGCGGACACGGCUGGGUCUUGGACGCGUGCUCACUCAUCGACCGGGGCUAUUCGCGUUGCGUCCGGUGGAGAGGUGAUCUAAAGUCGCAUGUAAAGUGUCGCUUCAAGCGGCAGUGUUUUCACCUUUUAAAAUGCCAUUACAGUGUGAAUGCCUGUGCCGCUGUGGAUGGAGGAAACACAGACAUGUUAGAGAAAAUAAACAAACCAACGAAGAAAAGGAAACGAAAACACAAUGAACUCAACCAGGGGGAAAUUGAUUCACGAGUCUUCCACGAGAAGAUUAGGUCUGUCAUCCUCGAAGGAACCACAUCCUUGGUGGAUUCCGCCCGGUCCCUGGGAUAUCUGAAUGGAUCUGCAGACACAGUGAAAGAGUCUCUUCCUCUCCAGGAGUGCAGCCUUGCGGCUCUUUGUGAAAUGGCUAAAGAGCUUCCUCUAGUGGACGAUGAGGAGCAGGAGGAGUGUGUUCAGUUACUUCUUGCUGAAAGUGGCUGUACAUCACAUGUGGACUUGUUCUCCCGGGUAACGGAGAACAGGGAGGACUGGGCCACAGUGGUUACCUUGAUGGGAGAGGAAUAUGUAAUACCACCGCACACAGCCUUCCUGCUGUCUGAUUUCACUCGCAUACAGCCGCUGGUCCACUAUGGAAGAAAGUUUGACUUAAUAGUUAUGGAUCCACCGUGGGAAAACAAGUCUGUGAAAAGGAGUCGAAGAUACAGUUCUCUGCCCUCAUCACAGCUGAAACGGCUUCCUAUACCCCUACUGGCUUCUGCGAACUGUUUAGUGGUCACCUGGGUCACAAACCGGCCCAGCCACCUGCGUUUCGUCCGUGAUGAGCUGUAUCCACACUGGGGAGUAGAGGUCAUAGCCGAAUGGUUCUGGGUCAAGGUGACCACAUCUGGACAGUUUGUGUUUCCACUGGAUUCACCGCACAAGAAACCGUAUGAAGUGCUGGUUCUGGGCCGAUAUCGUUCCUCUGCAGAUGCCUCCAUGAGCUCUUCAGAGACAAAAGAAAUUCCUGUGGAGGACUGCCGUUUGAUCGUCAGCAUCCCAUCAGCCCUCCACUCCCAGAAGCCCUCACUCUCAGAAUUGUUUCUGCUAAAUUGGCUGCAUGAAAUGUAGCAGUCGGAGUGGUCUUACUCCAUAACCAGCCGGAGCUCCAUGCCUGCUUGUGAAUCAUCAGUGGUUUCUGGAGCAGCAGCACAAGCACGUUGUCAGAUUCAUCUGGAGAAUACCAAUCCCCCCAUCUCUACCGAGCAAAGGUGACAGGAUGUGGAACGGCGGGAGAGCGCGAUGGUGGGUCCACGAUUAGACCAGAUCAGAACUGCAGGGUGUGGUGUUCUCUGUACCGCUGUCACACACAUCAAACAGUCAGGUGUCCCCAUCAGGUACGAAGGAGCAGCAGGACACUGAGAGACUGGAGGUGGCCAAGAGGUGCAGGGAGGUAAUGAAAGACGUCAUCCGGGAGGGGCAAAGCACAAAUCAUGGUGGCCUCUCAGUCACAACUCAGGCAGUGUUUACAGAAAGGCUCGUCCAAGCUGCUCUCAGGGGAGAAACGAUUGAUUGAUUCUCUGUUAUAGAGAAAAUGGUAACACUUACAGAGAAGUGAGUUUGACAUCUUGCUCUGAUUCACUGGCUCUGAAGAGGUGGGUAAAAAAUAAUUUCAAGAGCUGCAUCCUCCACCAGAUUUCCCAUUUAAUGAAAUAUUGUAAUUAAAUAUUUCAAGCUGUGUUUUGGCCCGCCUGCAUUUGUGCCGCUGAAUGUUUAACAGUGAAAGGAGGAAGCAAUCCAAAAUACAUACAGUACUGUCAGAGAGCUAAGAGAGCUGCAAGAUAAGAGAGAUAAGAGAAAAAACAAACAACUGUUUUUUUUUCUGCUUAUCAGUCUGUAAUUAAGUUUGUGACCAUUACCAGUAACACUGACUUUGAGGUUGUGUGUCAGGAAAACACAAACUUUAGGACGUUUUAAGUCCUUAAACAAAAAAUAAAUGCUGAUGAGGACAGCACAGUAAUUUGGACGAGCUGACCCUUUAAGUGCUGCUGCAUGUGACUGAAGAGCGAGAAUCAACAACCACUGCCGUCAGCAUCACAGUGUCGGAGACAUAUGUCAAGCAGCUCAUCUGCAUUGGAGGAAUUAUUCUUGGCGGCUCUGAUCAAAUGCGACCAGCUGAGGCCCAGCGUCUAUAUGACAGGGUCGCAGGGGACGAGACGGACAAAGCGGGAUCUCAGACACGCACGCUGCCCGGUGAUGUCUGGUGCACCCUCUCCCCGUUCUCAUUAUCCUCUCUCUGGGUGUUAAGCAGGAGAGGAGAGGGGAGGGGAAGGCGGUGGCGGUAGAGACUGGCUGGCUAACCCAACAUCCCCCGUGGACAGGGAACAGAUGGGACCUGACUCCCUCCACAGUAAUCACUGCCAAGGAAGCUUCGGUCUGCUCCUGUGACCGUUUCAAAAUGACAACUACUGUUUACUCAAACAAGAGGAGAGCCCAGGGAUGAGGGAAUGAAGGGAAUAUGGACACAUUACAGUCCAGGAGUGGAGAAAUACGUUUAAAGUUGACAUUAGCCAAGGAGUUUAUAUAAACUAAAAUGAUAGGUAUGUUAGUAAAAAGAGGAUAAAGCUGUUUUUGCACAUAUUUGUAGAAAAUGUUCCCAAACUUCAGGCCUUUGAAUUGUCGUUUCCCACAGCAACAGUUGAAUUUCAGAGCCAAUGUUGUCAGAAGAUUCACCGUAACACUGUGCUGUGUUCGUCCCACAUUAUUAAAAGGAGGGUGAAACGAUGUUUCCCCAUGAUUCAAAUCACAGCACAGAGUAAUGCACAGUGUCAUGACCUGUGUGCUCAAAUCACAGUUGGGAUUAAAAAACAGCUAACAACACUGGCCCCCCAAGCUGGAUGACAGCCAGACCCAAUAAUUUAUGUCCCCUGGAAAACACUAAAGCGAUAUGACAGCAGAAAAAAUAAAUAAAACGUUUAGGACACACAGAUAAUGCAGGAAAAAGAAAUGCUGCUUGGACGUCUUCCCAAUGAUUUCAGUUACACUGAGCAGAGACAACAGAAGUGCAUCAUCCUGAGAAAAACUUCCACUGUAAUUAACAGUUGAGAGACUCUGGCCCACUCCCUUCCCUAAUGGAAUAACUGAGGAAAUGAUUCAUUAAGACUGUCAUUCAUCCCAGUGAUGGUCCAUCUCCAAUCCACCCACCCACCUGUCAGAGGCCUGGGGUACCUGGGUAAUGUAGUCAUCCACUGGGGACAUAAUUAGAGAGCUGCCACCUGUACUUCCUCUCCUCUCUCCUCCUCCAGACCUAGACAGGCCUCAUUAGAGAGACCAGAGCCUGUCUGUGUAUGUGGAAAAAAGAAAAGAGUAAAUUAAUCUACAGUGGAAAUCUGACACUAAUUAGUGUUUUUGGCCAAAACGCCUUAAAGGUCCACAGAGACAAUAGCAUUGAAUAACUGAAUACAUUUUAAUUGUGCUCGUUAGAUGCAGAAAACAAAAACACAUCAAAACAUAGCAAUUGGAUUUUAAUGAACAUCUAUUAACAGGACAAAACUGCCAGAACAGUGAAACCCCCACAGUCUCGGGAGGAUUCGGUGGAAGACAAAGAGCAUGUUCAAAGAGAGGAUCAUGUUCAGACUGCAAAGAGAGAGCAACACAGCGUGAACCAGAGGGACUGAGACUACUAUCAACAUUAAAAGCAAAGGUGCAGAAAAGGCCACUCACUGAAACAUGAAUACAACAGAACAGAACUCUUUUGGUCGGUUCGUUCCCGUGCCUGUGUGUUUUAACAGCCCGACACCGGAAAACCAGAGGAGGAACUGGAAGGUGAAAAGGCGCUUUAAAGAGUUUCUUCUAACCACCGUGGUUUUCACAGUGACCACCACACCAAGCUGCUGAUGGACUUGUGAACGUCAUUAUCUGUAUAAUUUCAAAGGCGUCCUGAUAUCACUGACUUAAUGUUGAAUCAGCUGCACUUCCUGCAGGAACCUGCAGAAAUCCCCCAAACUGAAAGCCAAAACAUGAGAAGUGUUUUCUGAUCUGAGGCCCCUAUCAGAAGGAUGACGUCAUUUGUUUAUUUGUUCACCUUUCACAAACUAAUUUGUUUCAUGAUGUUACAACACUUUGG